GACGAACCGUGCGAACGUUGUUCGGAAUCACUGGGCUUAAAGGGCGCGUAGGCGGACUGUCCAGUCAGGGGUGAAAGUCCUGCGGCUCAACCGUAGAAGUGCCUUUGAUACUGACAGUCUCGAGGGAGGUAGGGGCGUGCGGAACUUCCGGUGGAGCGGUGAAAUGCGUAGAUAUCGGAAGGAACACCGGUGGCGAAAGCGGGUG
rnacentral:rRNA from 1 species